ACAAGAGAUUCGGGGGGUUUUCGGCAAAAGUGCCUAUAGCCUCUCUCUCCUCUCUUUUGCGAUGUUCCGUCUUUGUAUAAGGGGCUAGGGUUUUUCUCUCUUCCUCUCUCCCUCUCUCCCUCAUUUGGAUCGUCUCUCUUGCUCGAUUCUUAACUUGGCAGGUUCCUGAUCACUUCGAACCGAAAACAUGCCGAAGAACAAGGGAAAGGGAGGAAAGAACAGGAAGAGAGGAAAGAACGAAGCAGAUGAUGAGAAACGUGAGCUUGUUUUCAAGGAAGAUGGUCAGGAGUAUGCCCAGGUUCUCAGAAUGUUGGGGAAUGGUCGGUGUGAGGCGACGUGCAUAGAUGGGACAAACGUGAGCUCAUGUUAGAAAACAUUUUUUUUUCUCUCGCUGCUGCUUUAGUGGCUGGAAUGAAUACUUCUGUUGAGAGGCCCGAAGCCACGAGACCUUGUUCAAUCAGUCAAAGCUGAGCAAAGGUGAAUAAGUAGCUGCGAGAGGAGAAAGAGAAGAAAAAGAAUAAAUAGGUAUAGGCUCAGCAGGAGUGAAAGAAGGGUGGGUCAGAAGUAAGUAAUAAAACUCCAGGAGUUUACUCAGAAUCCAUAGGUGAAAGAAAGAAGGGAAUGAGGUCAGAUCGAUCAGCCAGCUGCUUUGCUUUACCCCGAGCGAAAGAAUCUAGAGUAUCUUUAUCCUAAUUAUUUCCUUUAUUUGUUGAUUCUUGAUGAUCGUAUAUUUAUGACAUCUUUACAUGGAA